AUUGAACGCUGGCGGCAGGCCUAACACAUGCAAGUCGAACGGUAACAGGAAGAAGCUUGCUUCUUUGCUGACGAGUGGCGGACGGGUGAGUAAUGUCUGGGAAACUGCCUGAUGGAGGGGGAUAACUACUGGAAACGGUAGCUAAUACCGCAUAACGUCGCAAGACCAAAGAGGGGGACCUUCGGGCCUCUUGCCAUCGGAUGUGCCCAGAUGGGAUUAGCUAGUAGGUGGGGUAACGGCUCACCUAGGCGACGAUCCCUAGCUGGUCUGAGAGGAUGACCAGCCACACUGGAACUGAGACACGGUCCAGACUCCUACGGGAGGCAGCAGUGGGGAAUAUUGCACAAUGGGCGCAAGCCUGAUGCAGCCAUGCCGCGUGUAUGAAGAAGGCCUUCGGGUUGUAAAGUACUUUCAGCGGGGAGGAAGGGAGUAAAGUUAAUACCUUUGCUCAUUGACGUGACCCGCAGAAGAAGCACCGGCUAACUCCG
rnacentral:rRNA from 1 species